AGCGAACGCUGGCGGCAGGCUUAACACAUGCAAGUCGAGCGGGCCCUUCGGGGUCAGCGGCGGACGGGUGAGUAACGCGUGGGAACGUGCCUUCUGGUCUGGAAUAACCCUGGGAAACUAGGGCUAAUACCGGAUACGCCCUUUUGGGGAAAGGUUUACUGCCGGAAGAUCGGCCCGCGUCUGAUUAGCUAGUUGGUGGGGUAACGGCCUACCAAGGCGACGAUCAGUAGCUGGUCUGAGAGGAUGCUCAGCCACACUGGGACUGAGACACGGCCCAGACUCCUACGGGAGGCAGCAGUGGGGAAUAUUGGACAAUGGGCGCAAGCCUGAUCCAGCCAUGCCGCGUGAGUGAUGAAGGCCUUAGGGUUGUCAAGCUCUUUUAUCCGGGACGAUAAUGACGGUACCGGAGGAAUAAGCCCCGGCUAACUUCGUG
rnacentral:rRNA from 1 species